rnacentral:lncRNA from 1 species
UUCUCUUUAGCAUCCGGCGCUUUCUGAGUGCGCCCUGUACAGGUGCCAGGUUAGGAUGCAUGGAUAAAAAGGGACCAGUUUCUCCCGUUGGCUGCAGUCACGUAAACCCGACCCUGAGUGGCUGAGGGCCAGGGCACAGUGGCUCACCGCUACACUGAUCUGCAUCACUACAUUUUAUGUGACUAUUUGCUUGCUCGUGUUGCCCACUGAUGGUGGCGGCCCCAGUAGUUCCUGACAAACGCUAGGCUUAAAUAUAUGUAUGAUGUGUGGACUAAGUGUGUGCCCCAUCUCUGGAUUCAUUUGUGCUGCUGUCUCUGUGGUGCAGACAUAGUCCUUAGGCUGCACUUUGAGGCUCAUUUUCCUUCCUGGAGCCCUCGUCUUUCCCUUCAUUGUAUGGGAAAAACUCAAAGAGAAGUUUUUGGAGCUUUGAAACAGGUGCUUGGAGCCACAGCAGAAGCCACCAUACCCAGGACUUGUUCUCGGCUCUCCACUCCUAAAAAUGUCUGCAGGGGCGUCCCCUUAUCUGCGAUCCGAGGAAGGACGAUUUCUCCCUAGCCACCCCAGCAUAGCUCUUUAGUGACUCUGGCCUACGUGGGCUCCACUGGCAUACUGGCUUUGUAUGCUGGCAUGCCAGAACACAUGAUCGAGCAGAGACCACUAACAUUACUGCCCAGCACAGCUGAGUGAAUUUCUUCCUUCACACUCUAAGGACAGGACCGCAGCAUGGAAAAAGAAAACUGAAAGUUCAGUCCAUCUCCAGUAGCAUCUCAGGGUCCAGAAUGAGCCAGCAGAGGACUCACUGUGAAGUCCAUCCAGGUCACUCUACUAUGACUCCGUUUCCUAGGAAGUGACUCCGAGACUCACUCAAUGAAGGAAAUCCAGUCUGAAGAAGCCUGAAGGAUUGAUGUGGUUUGAAUAACGCCUCCCCCAUAGGCUUAUAUUUGGAAGUUUAGUCACCAGGCACUAUUUGAGAAGGAUUGGGAGCUGUGGCCUGAUAAAGUGGUUUUGGCUUUGUUGGAGAAAGCAUGCCAUUGGGGUAGGAUUUGGGGUAUAAAAAAGUCCAUAUCAGGCCCAAUCUCCCCCGCCCCCAUCUGUUUGCCUGAGGAUCAAGAUGUAGCUCUCAGCUACUGCUCUAGCACCAUGUGUACUGCCAUAGUAACUACCAUGAUGGUAAUGGACUAAGCCUCUAAAACUAUAAGCAAGCCCCCCAUUAAAUGCUUGUUUUUCUAGUGACCCAGGUUCCUGCUCCUUUGUUCUGGUUGCCCACAAACCAUACUGCACAGCCAAGGCCCUGUGGAUCCCUCCACCUUCACCAGAUCUGAAUUGGAAAGGAAAAGAUGGGCAAAAUGAAACACAAAACGUGACCCAGGUUCCUGCUCCUUUGUUCUGGUUGCCCACAAACCAUACUGCACAGCCAAGGCACCGUGGAUCCCUCCACCUUCACCAGUGACCCAGGUUCCUGCUCCUUUGCUCUGGUUGCCCACAAACCAUACUGCACAGCCAAGGCACCGUGGAUCCCUCCACCUUCACCAGAUGCUCACAGACCUACUUUCCAGAAGUUGCCAGACCUGACUGGUGAGAUGCCUUCCUCAGCUCUGCAGCUUUCCAGGCCCAUCCUUGAAUAGCAUCAUCACCCAAGAAAAGGAGCAGAACAGCUGCAGACCCUGAGCCCACUUCACACUGCUGUCAUCAGUUAGCUCCUGAGCUGGCCAACUAUCUACCACCUGAGCCCCGAGACACCCCUCUCUUCCUUCCCUGAAGACAAAUUGGCUGUCUCUCAGAGUUCUCACAGGGGCUAUCAGCACUGUCAGCAGCAUCACUGCAGAAUCCCUCUCUGCCUGGGACAGCAGCUCAGCCAGUCUUUAGCCUCUGAGGGUGAAACAAGUGAGCAGUGGGCUCUGGAAGGGGGAGAGAAGCUUACAGGGAAAAAGAUGUCCACCCUACAUAGACAACCAGAUUCUAUGAUUUGUCUCCUUAAUUCUGAGCACUCUUUCACCAGAUAGGCAUUCCUUUCUUGCUGGACACUAGCAGUGAAGACACUCUGGCCAAUUCAAGUGUGGUGGGCAUGGCUCUGGCAGUCCUUACCCUUCUCCCUGAUUCCCUCUGCCUUUCUAAAAACCAUUAGAUUAAAUUUCUAAAGCUAGCCACCAAGGUCUAUUUCCUCCUCUUGAGGUCAACCACCAAGGUCCAGCUAUCAAAGUAUUGAAGUCCAGCAAACAAAAGCCCCAUUUGGCUCACCUAAGUAACAUGCAAAUUAAAAUUAUAUAGCUCAUCCUAAAAUGCGGUUUCCCAUUUUACCCUAUUUUAUUUGUUUGUUUGUUUGCUUGCUUGCUUGCUUAUACUUAUCUAAUGAAUGAGUGAUCUGCUGUAUAUACAUCCACAGGCCAGAAGAGGGCAUCAGGUCCCCUUAUAGAUGGUUUUAAGCCACCAUGUCAGUGCUGGGAAUUGAACUCAGGACCUCUGGAAGAGCAGCCAGUGCUCUUAACUGCUGAGCAAUCUCACCAGCCCCCCAUCCUGGCUUUGUAAACCAUCAUUUACCCAUGAGCCUUGUCCGUCUCCCCUCUAUCCAGAGACAGUUUUUGGUUCCUCCUGGACAAAUCUUCUUACUCCCCUUUCCCUUACUCCUUCCCCUUCUCCUUUGUCCUCCAUCUCCUGACUUAUCCCCUGCCCUCUGUCCCUCUGGGGCAAAUAGAUCUUCUCUGUGCUGAGAACUUGGUCUUAGCAUGUAUUGAGUUGAUUUCAAAGUCCCUCUAUAACUGCUGCGCAUGGAAAAAAAUCCCAGAAGAAUUCUCUAUCAUAGUCCUUGUCUUUUCUUUAAGACCCUAACAGAACCAGAGAAAACAGGAAUAUCCAGAAAGAUGGAAGACAGAUAAGAAUGGGAGGAACAUUGAGUGUAUAAGAAAAGAUGGGAGGCAGCUAUCCAUCCGCAUGAUGGGCAGGCCUGCAGAAGGUCUUAAAUGUCUCACCUCUUAAGAUCCAUAUUAAAAGUGGGUUUUCUCACCUCAAAUGAUUUAUUUCAGAAAAACUCUUGAGGCUAGAGCAAUGGCUCAGGGGUUAAGAGCAUUGACUGUUCUUCCAGAGGACCUGAGUUCAAUUCCCAGUACCUACAUGAAAAUUUACUGCUGUCUAUAACUCCAGUUUCAAGGAAUCCAGCACCCUCACAGACAGACAUGUAUGCAAAGCAUCAAUCAAUGUUCAUAAAAUAAAAAUAAAGAAAAGGAAAAACCCUCACACAUGUACCAAGCUGCUUAGUUUUUAGUUAAUUCCAGAUGUAGUGAAGCUGACAGCCAAGAAUAGUCAAUACAGUGUCCCUGUCCUGUCCUCCAUGAUCUUCCCCUCCACACACCUCACCAAACUCCAGGCUCGAACCAGUACACACUUCUUAUACGACAACCCCCUGACUUCACUCCAUCUAAGUCCACCCAUCCUACAGGCCCAACCUGGCCCACACAUCCUGGGAUCUGCCCCUAACUCCUCUGUCUACAUCAGACACAGAACUAACCAAAAAAAAAAAGUUCACAUGCCCAGAUCUCAUAAUAAAAAUAUAAAUAAUUUGAAAACUCAAGGCAGUACCCUCACAAAAAUACCCGCCAAUACUAUAGAAAUGUUCACUAAAGAGAAUUACCCAAAUGAAUCCUCAUGACACAGAACUAAAAAGAACAUUCACAAACUUUGAGACACAGCAAGAAGGCCCUCAGCAGACCCAGCCCCUCUAUCUCAGACUUCCCAGCCUCUAGAUCUGUGAGACAUACACCCCUGUUUAUUGCAAAUUCACUCUCACAAAGCCCUCCAUUACACCACCACAGAUGGGACAACGGCCCCAGCCUGACCUCGCUCCUGAAUCAAUAUUCUCAUGUCAGCUCAGCAUUUCAUCUUGAAUAAACAUUCAAGCAAGCAUUUCUCAUUUAGUAUUUCCCAAACCACAGAGAUUCUCUUCCCCAACCUUUUCUUCUUCAAGUCUUCCCCCAUCUCACCAAGUGGUCACUCUAACCUUCUAGAUGUCCAGUUAUCUAAACUAAAAUGGGGGGGUUGCAGACCUUGACCCAAUCCAUGGGUUCAUUGGUAAACUCUUGGUAUUUCACAUGCAGGCUUUCUCCAAAAACCUGCCCUGCCUGCUUUCCACAGGAGAUUAAAUAAAGAGAUGUGUGAGACACUUGUUUCACUUUAUCUGACACAAGUGCUUCUCAAUAGAAGUAUCUGUUCCUUGUCCGAACUAAAGGGAACUGCAACCCUAUAGGUGGAACAACAAUAUAAACUAAUCAGUACCCCGGAGCUCUUGUCUCUAGCUGCAUAUGUAUCAAAAGAUGGCCUAAUAGGCCAUCACUUGAAAGAGAGGCCCAUUGGACUUGCAAACUUUAUAUGCCCCAGUACAGGGGAACGCCAGGGCCAAAAAGGGGGAGUGGGUGGGUAGGGGAGUGGGGGGGUAUGGGGGACUUUUGGUAUAGCAUUGGAAAUGUAAAUGAGCUAAAUACC